GAUGAACGCUGGCGGCGUGCCUAAUACAUGCAAGUCGAGCGAACAGAUAAGGAGCUUGCUCCUUUGACGUUAGCGGCGGACGGGUGAGUAACACGUGGGUAACCUACCUAUAAGACUGGGAUAACUUCGGGAAACCGGAGCUAAUACCGGAUAAUAUUUCGAACCGCAUGGUUCGAUAGUGAAAGAUGGUUUUGCUAUCACUUAUAGAUGGACCCGCGCCGUAUUAGCUAGUUGGUAAGGUAACGGCUUACCAAGGCGACGAUACGUAGCCGACCUGAGAGGGUGAUCGGCCACACUGGAACUGAGACACGGUCCAGACUCCUACGGGAGGCAGCAGUAGGGAAUCUUCCGCAAUGGGCGAAAGCCUGACGGAGCAACGCCGCGUGAGUGAUGUAGGUCUUCGGAUCGUAAAACUCUGUUAUUAGGGAAGAACAUACGUGUAAGUAACUGUGCACGUCUUGACGGUACCUAAUCAGAAAGCCACGGCUAACUACGUG
rnacentral:rRNA from 1 species